rnacentral:rRNA from 1 species
ACGAACGCUGGCGGUAUGCUUAACACAUGCAAGUCGAACGGAUUUAUGGGGCUUGCUCCAUAAAUUAGUGGCAAACGGGUGAGUAACGCGUGGGAAUCUACCCAUCAGUACGGAACAACAUUUGGAAACAAAUGCUAAUACCGUAUAUUCUCUUCGGAGGAAAGAUUUAUCGCUGAUGGAUGAGCCCGCGUAAGAUUAGGUAGUUGGUAGGGUAAUGGCCUACCAAGCCGACGAUCUUUAGCUGGUCUGAGAGGAUGAUCAGCCACACUGGGACUGAGACACGGCCCAGACUCCUACGGGAGGCAGCAGUGGGGAAUAUUGGACAAUGGGCGAAAGCCUGAUCCAGCAAUACCGCGUGAGUGAUGAAGGCCUUAGGGUUGUAAAGCUCUUUUAGUAGGGAAGAUAAUGACGGUACCUACAGAAAAAGCACCGGCUAACUCCGU